UGAACAAGAGAAAAGACUAUUAAAACACACUUCCUGUUUUUGGAAGCUGAGGCCUUUGUUUGCUUCAGGUUACACUGUUUAUACUGGCGUGGUGAUAACCAAAUGAAAAUGUUGCUUACUGUGUUGAUCCAGCCGAUGUAGGAGCUGACUUGUGUGAAGACUGUAGGUUUCUGGAAGACAUUACAGCCCUGACCGGAGCCAAAGCUCACAAUCCCGUGGACGUCCCAGGAGCCAUCGGGGUUCUGGCAAUUCAGAGGUCCACCAGAGUCUCCCUGCAGCCCGCGAUGAUGCCGUCUCCACCGGCACAGACCAUCUUGUCUGUUGCCAGGACGCUCCACCAGUCGGGCUGUGAGCAGAUCUCACGGCCGACGACUGGCAGAAGAACCUGCUGCAGGAUGUCCGCCGGAGGACCAUCGGCUGUGGGGAAGAAAACAGCUCAACUCAAGUAGAAUUUACUUUCAUCUUUGCACAACAUUUCACGUGACGACACUGUAUUGGUUCUUUGAAGCCUUGUAUCGAUGUGUAAAUGUUCUUGACAGUGUUGUUUUUGUUGUAUUUAUGCCUCGAACUUUGGGUUGAGAGCAGGCUUUCAUCCAUUUCACUCUACCCCCUUCCCCUCCUCUCACUAGAGAUAGUGUUUAUAGAACAUUGUUAUUUUUAGAGUUCGAGUUUUUCUCAGAAUCAUGGCACCCCUGUAUCAGGACAUGCGUUGAAUCAUCCCAUUGAUGCCAAUACACAGCAGCACUACAGUGCAUAGUGAAGUCUUGUGUUUUAGCUCACAGUCCAGUAGGAUUAAUAUAUCACAUGAUAUUCUAGUGCGCUGACUGUGAAGAAUAUUUUAAUUUAAUAUCAGUUUUGCUGUGGUGCGUCGACUCACUGGAGAGUCGACCCCAGCCAGUGACGUAGCAGGGAGAACCGUGGCUCAGGACGACACCCUGGUCUGGGAGGCAGGCCGGCGUGAUUGUGUCAGAGAAGGUGACAGGAGAAGAUAACUUGAUCAGGGCAAUGUCGUUACUGCAAGAGUCAAAACAGUCCACCCACAUGCAGGAAGUGAAAAUUCCAGUGAACUAAUUUUAGCCACCAAUAUUGCUUUGGUGGCCUGAUCAUUCCACUUAAACUCACGACAUGAUAUUGAGUCGUGCCGGCUGCUGUUACCGGCUGAGCAGGACGUUGUAGUCCUCAUGUGUGAUGAUGUCCGCUGCCCUCACAGCUAUGGAGCCCUCCUCGCUCGCCUUCAGACUGUGUUUGCCCAGCUCCACUCUGUAGUUGUAGCGGUCACUGUGGGAUGGCAGAAGACAUGGUGUUCCCUUUGGGAUGUGGACAGUUGUACUGCUUUUUUCUGCCUGUGUGGAACAGAGAUUAAGCUGACUGUGGAUUUGAAAGGGUUGUUUGACCUGUAGGGCUUUAGUGCAUGGCUGGUUAUAUGACCAAACAUUUUUAAAUUGCUUCCCCUGACAAAAAGAUCUCUUUAAUGUUAUGUUGGAACUCACACUUCCUCACUCUUUCCUCCAUUUCCACAAGAAGAAAGACAAAACGAAAACUCAUGAAAUCAUUAAUUAAUUCAACACACUGAAACUUUAUGUACGCCGUCAUUAGUGGCAUUAAGAGAAGCUUAGUUCAAUUAGCAACCCGUGAGGUCAAUCAAUGAAACAAGAUUGAAGGAGUGGGACACUUCAACUUUCAAUUGUGAUCAAGCUAUCUACAGGAAUUAAAACACGUCUAUAAACUGAGACUUUAUAUAUGUCAAAGACCAACAUAAAAGCGUCGUCCCACCAGUGAGGUAUGUUGCGUCAGCCACCACGAGUUGGAUUCAUGCAUUUUAUGACCACUGAAUGCAAAGAAUCUGGGCAGUUACAGAGGGUUUAUAUGCUUUUCUUUUCUGGCCAUAUUUACAGCCUUCUUCUUCUUAGUGUGUAGUUGACGUUACCUGAUACAGUGAGCAGCAGUGAGAACCCAGUGGGAGGAGAUGAGAGUGCCUCCACAGACGUGACUCCAGCCCCCGCUGCUGUCUGACUGCAGCGAGAUCUGAGCAGAGUAGAAAGAGGAUAGUGUGGGAAGAUCAACGUAUACACACCUGAGAUCUCACCUGCCAGGGCCAGCUGUGACGCCUAACAUCCUGUCCUGCCACCACUCUGCUCAGCACAGGAGAGAAAAUGGGAAGACCACAUCCAUAGGCUGGGACAAGGAAAAUAGUGUAUAAUCAUUUUAGACCAUACACUACAAAAUAAUAGGUAAUUCUUCUUCUUAUUAUUAUUAUUAUUAUUAUUAUUAUUAGUGUUAUUAUAGC